ensembl:lncRNA
GCAUUAUUGAGACCUUAAAAGCUUGGUGCUAACAACAAAUGAGCACUGGCCUGGAAAAUCCACUUCCUCUUAGGCAUGAUGAGGUAGGGAUCUGGAAAGCAAGUUUUAGGUAUUUGCAGAAUCUCCCUGCAUUAAAAAAAAAAAAGAAAGAAAGCAAGCAAGAAAGAAAAAAUGGUCACAGUCAUAUACAGGCUGCUUUCAUGGAAUCAUUCAGUUCUGCAGCCCCUGUAUGUGAUCCAAACCUCUUUGCAUCUCCGACUGCAGCCCAGUACCUGAGGGUCAAGUACCCCACUGAGAGCUCAGAAAGAGAAGCCAGAAAAAGAUAUGGAGCUGGUACGGGUGACUGUUGAGCACAGAUGGCCAGUUAUCGAUGUAAUCUGUGUAUCUGGGAGGCAUGUGCUGUAAGAAGGCAGCUGCUAAACUGAAUUAAGCCACAGUUUUUAAGAAGAGAAAGUGGAUUGGAAACGGAUAGAAGUUUUGAAUGUAUGCGGCUGUGUGAAGCUAUGAUCUAUGGUUAAAAAUCAGGAUGAUAUGCACCAAGAGACUGAGGAUCUUUCCAAAGUACAACCCUACGGAAGCCAGACUCCAAAUAGGAAGCUGCCAAGAUCAAUUCAUUUUGAUAAAUCAACUGUUUCAGAAGGCCAUCUACACUGAAAUACAGCUGCUGUUCUUUUUUUUUCUAACAAAAUGAUCAUGAAGCAAGCAUGAACCAACUAUUACUCAGACUGUUUUACUGAACUAAUGAAUUGCUCUGGGAAGCCUGUUAUGAAGAUGUGUGUUCAAUUAUUACAUACAAACUGGUUAAAAGGAAAUACAUCAUAAUUAGGCUAACAUAUCUACUGUGAUGCAGCCUCUCCUGAUGAAAGAACUCCUUUGAGACAGUGUGGGCACAUUGGGGUACUUUGUGUUUUUCUGUUUAUUGAUUUUCAUCUUUUAUAAUUUGAUGGAUUAACCAACACUGGUUCACAACUGUUCCUUGUCCAGUUUAAUGGAGGAAAAAAAAAAACCCUCUUGGCCUCUUUUAAAAAAUCUUUUCCUAGAUGUGUGAGAGGAAUAAGCAUUUGGUCUCCAGCAAUACUACUGAGAACAUUCACCUAGAUCAAAAUGAGGAAAUGCAUUUCAGCUGUCACUACCAUGUCAUUAUGGCCCCUCCUCUACUGCAUUUCUGUUGCCAAAAAGAAUCCUCACCAGAUCAAAAUGAUUGGAAUCAGGCCCAAGACAGCUGUGGCCUAGAUAAAGAAAACCAAGCGAUUUUCAGUCUCCAAGAUACCAAACAGAAAAUGUCACUGAUGGCCAGUAUUACUCAUCUGAAUGUGACACUUUCUGUACAGUCCUUGGCCUAUUGUUGUUUGCUAGAGUUUAAAGAGGAGAGAGGAGAGGAUUCCAUUUACUUUAAAGCCUUCUACUGCAAAGCUGGGGACUCAGCAAGUGACGCAGAGAAAACUUUGGAAGUCUAUGAAAAGAACCAACAAACCAAUCAACUACAGUGCCCCUUAUUCUAUUAAUGUUAUUGUUCAAGAACUGAGGAGAAACUGGCAUGCACAGAAAUUCUAGACGGGAGAGUAGAAAAGGACAUAUGGAGUACGACUCUUAGAUAUAUUAAAAUGUGACCUCAUAUACUACUGGGGACUCUAAUAAAAGGGAGACUACAUGAAGGAAAAGUCAUCAAGUCACAAGAAGUUUGGGUACUGUUGAAGGAUACGCCAACUUUGAGUCUGAAGUGAAAAGAAAUAAGCAUGACAUUUUUUUUUUAAUCCAACAAAUUCCUUGAUUUUUCUCUGUCAAUCUAAUGCUGAACCCUGCUUUAAAAGAAGAAAGGUACAGGAAAAAUUCAACAUUCAGAAAACUAAAAUCAUGGCAUCUGGUCCCAUCACUUCACAGCAAACAGAUGAGGAAACAAUGGAAACAGUGACAGACUUUAUUUUCUUGGGCUCCAAAAUCACUGCAAACGGUGACUACAGCCAUGAAAUUAAAAGAUGCUUGUUCUUUAGAAGGAAAGCUAUGACAAACCUAGACAGAGUAUUAAAAGCAGAGACAUCACUUGCUGACAAAGGUCCCUGUAAGUCAAAUAUAACUUAUAGGACCCUUAGGGACCUUAAUAAGUUUUUCCAGUAGUCAUGUACGAAUGUGAGAGUUGAACCAUAAAGAAGGCUGAGCACUGAAGAACUGAUGCUUUUGAACUGUGGUGUUGGAGACAACUCUUGAGAGUCCCUUGGACUGCAAGGAGAUCAAAUAAGUCAAUCCUACAGGAAAUCAAUUCUGAAUAUUCAUUGGAAGGACUGAUGCUGAAGCUGAACCUCUAAUACUUUGGCCACCUGAUGCAAAGAACUGACUUUUAGAAAAGACCCUUAUGCUAGGAAAGAUUGAAGGCAGGAGGAGAAGGGGAUGACAGAGGAUGAGAUGGCUGGAUGGCAUCACCAAUUCAAUGGACACAAGUUUGAGCAAGCUCCAGGAGUUGAUGAUGGACAGGGAAGCCUGGCAUGCUGCAGUCCAUGGGGUCACAAAGAGUUGGACAUGACUGAGCGACUAGAGUAAACUGAACUGAACUGACUGAUGGUACACACCAGAGGUUUGGGCACAGGCAGAAACGCACCGUGAAAUGUAGCCAAAGGUGUGAGGUGAAUGCGGCUUGCUCCAGCCAGUCCUUUCUGUCACAGUUAAAGACAGGAAGCAGUCUCCACAGCUCAGAAUGAAAAUGGGCAAUUAUUUGCUAAUUUUAGUCAAUAUUCAGUCAAUAAAGUCAUCCAAUCUCCAAAGUAAAAUAUUUUGACAUAUUUUUUUAUCAUUGAAACAACAAAUUCUUCCUAUAGAAACUAAGGUUAUAUUAGUUAAUCCAUAUUGUUAUAGAAAUUAGUAUUUUAAAAAACCCUAAAAAUCUUCUGGUUGAGACUGUAAGGAAAUUCAAGCAUUUAAAAUUGUUAUCCACAUACCUCAAAUACACAGCACUCAAAAGUGUAACAAUACUUCACACACACACUUAUUACCUCCUCCUCAAAUAAUAUUCUAGAAGCAUCUUAUAUGAUUACUCUCUUAGAGACCACUGAAUUCUCUGGUUAGCCUUCUGGGCCAUGAUGUUUAAUCCAGAAGAUGGUUAAAUUCCUUAAUAUGUAAGUUAAUAAAAAAAAUACUGAAUAAAUAUGGGAACACUAGUAAAACAAGAGACUCAUAAAUGAAAUUUAUUUUUAAAUUGUGCCAGAAAGAUCAGACUUACCAACGAGGAAAGGGAGUUCAUUAAAUGUUAAAUAUUUCAUCUCAGUAAAGUACAUGUAACAACAUUU